CGUGUAGCGGAAAGUUCCAGUUGGCAACACUGCCAGGUGACAACAACAGCACGCGCCGAGGCCCGAGCAGCAUCCCUUCUGGCCCUGCCCAACCAGCCCCCUAAAACACCCCAGAAGAAGAAGACGACGAAGGCUCCACACCCACGGGCCAGCGCUGGGGACCUGCUGGCCAGCGACACCCUCAGCCCCAACACUGCCAGGACAACACCUCCACCACCGCCGCCGGGAAGUCUUAACCUUCUCAUGCAGCAGAAGUAGAGCUCUCACGGGCACGUCCACCCUCGACCACGACCACGGACCCUAGGCCUCCGGUGUGUGGAGGAAAAGAGAACAAGGAAAGAACGAGGACAACAACAACACACUCAGCCGCCGCAAAGGUUGGGGCCGCCUCAUCUGCAGGGCUGGACAGCAGCAUGAGUGGCCAGGACAAGCAGGAGCAGACUGCUGCAGGGGGCAGGAGGAAGGACAAGCAGGACCCGGACGGUGACAUCAUUAUGAGGGUCAUUCCACCGUUACGGUCGUUUCAUUCGGAAGUAACUUAUUGGUGUACUCUUACCUGUAUCUCUAGAAGUUAUGCGGUUAGCUUGAUAUGAUUUUUACCAAGAUAGUACUAAUGGCUAAAGAGGUUAAUGAGACUAUCCGGAACAUUCUGUGUUUAUUGUUGUUCUUGUUAUUUAUUGUUGAAGAGGACGUUACGGCCGUUUCACAAAUGCAACCCGCAGUUUGACUUAGUGUUGUACAUAUGCAAAACUCUGUGAGAAUACAAAGAAAUUUCCAAAUAUUUUAUAUGCAUGUUAUAGAUGAAGCUUUAAGUUAUGCAAAUAUGUAUAGGUUUUGUCAAUUACCAUUUCAGUUUUUCAUACAAAAAAUAAAGAACGCCGUUACGGUCGUUUCGAAAAUUUUGU